UCUCCGUUGGUGAACCAGCGGAGGGAUCAUUACCAGGGUUUUACAACUCCCGACCCUUCUGUGAACCUACCUAUAGUUGCCUCCGCGGACUCGCCCCAGCGUCCGGACGGCCCCGCCCCGGCCCGCGACCUGGACCCAGGCGGCCGCCGGACACCCCGCAAACCUCUAGCCAUCAGUCCCUCUGAUUUCGCCGCAAGGCAAAACAAACGAAUCAAAACUUUCAACAAUGGAUCUCUUGGUUCUG
rnacentral:misc_RNA from 1 species